rnacentral:lncRNA from 1 species
GAGCCACCGCGCCCAGCCAGUUUACUCUUAAUUCUCCACCACUUGCAUCUGAUUCCCUAUUUUAUCAUCCUAGUGUAGUGUAUAUUUGUGCCACCUAUUUAAAUCCUCUUGGGAAGGAGACGAGAAAUAAAUACCUACUUACUUAUAAAUACAUGAGGAUGUAUACGGUGUGGGUCAAGCAGAUCAGGGAAGAGAAGAUGUCAAGAGAGACCAAGAAGAGGGCAUUGGAGAAAAAGACAGAGUAGUAAAGAGAUGGGUCACAGAAGCCAAGAGGAGAGAGCAUUAGAAAGAGGGAGCAGCUGGCUGGCAGCAUGUCACAUGUUGCCAAGAGGUUAAAUUGGAUGAAGACUAAAAAAAGGCCUUGGGAUUGAGCGAUGAGAAGGUCACCAGGGACCAUAAGGAAACUUCAUUGCCCUAUUGCAUCAGACACAAAUGGGAGAUGAAGAAGUAGAGCCAGGAAGGACAAGCACACAAGUUCAAUAAAUUUGUAAGCAGGAAGAAAAAAGAACCGUGGAUUAACUGAGGGGAGGAGGCUUUUAUUUUCUUGUUUUGUCUUGUAGUUUUUAGGGAGUGGAUGCAAACACAGAUGGGAAGGUAAGCUUCAACAGGAUGCCAUCAGGAAGAAGCAUGAAGAAAGAGAUAAACCCCGAGGUGGAAUGAACCCUUUGGCAGUGGAGAUAUCCGACCAUGGAGAUGCUUCUGAAUGUCACCCACCAAGAAGCUGCGAGCUGGAUGCUCCACAGAUACGAUGUACAGAGCCUUCCCUGCUGGCCCUUUUCCUUCCACCUGGAGAUCAGCCUAGGUCCACAGGUAAAUCACAUCCUCCUACCUGAUAAUGACCAACUGCUAAAACCCAGGAAAGAGUACAAGGCUUGGAAUUGGGGAAAGGGAAAAGGCAGCAUUUUAUCAGCUGAUUCAAUUUUUUGGUUGUUUUAAACGCUUUUUUAAAAUAAACUUAUUUUGGAAUAAUUUUACAUAAGUUACAGAAAAGUUGCAAAGAUAAUACAGAGAAUUAUCAUAUACCCCUCACCUAGUUUCCCCUAAUGUUAACAUGUUAUGUUACAUGGUACAUUUGCUAAAAAAAAAAAAAAACAAACCAAAAAAAAGCUACAUUAUGAUUAGCCUUUAUUCAGAUUUCACCAGUUUUUCCACUAACAUUCUUUUCUGUUCCAAUUCAGGAUAUCACAUUGCAUUUUGUGAUUUAUAAUUUUUAAGUUUAAGCUCUAUUUUUACAAAAGUUAACAUGUCCACAAUUGAAAAAGGAAAUGAUUAUACAUGACUUAUGAACAGCAGUCUUCUGCCCAAACCCUCCUUACUUCUAAUUUUCUCCUUCCAACAGCAAACAAUUUCAGCUUUCUCGCUUCUUCACCCUCUCUCCCUCAGUCCAGCCACACUGGUCUCUGAAACAUUCCUCAAAUGUGCCAAGUCUAUUUACAUUUAAGGCCAAAUCUUUGCUCAGAUUUUCCUCUUUGUCAUGUCUUCUUCCCGAUAAAGUCUACCCAGACAGACCACUCUAUUUAAAAUUGUGGAGACUUCUGGUUCUAAAAUGGCAGAACCAGAAACAAGUGUAGAAACAAGCUGGUGUAGAAACAAGCUGGCUUCACUCACCCCCAGAGAAAACCAAGACCAAGUGCUGAGACUAUCACUAGCAAUAUAUUACGACUCAAAUAUGAAGAUGAGAAAGUUCUCCUGGCCUCAGAGAAGUUAAAAAAAACUCCAAGCAGAUGGUAAGAGACUUGGACUUCCAUAUCUGUGACACCCCUUUC